rnacentral:rRNA from 1 species
AGUGAACGCUGGCGGCAGGCCUAACACAUGCAAGUCGAACGAGAGGCGGACGGGUGAGCAAUAAAUCGGAAUCUUCGUGGGGGAGGGGGAUAACGAAGGGAAACUUAAGCUAAUACCGCAUACGAUUGGAUGUGCCGACGUGGGAUUAGCGAGGUGGGGGGGUAAAGGCACACCAAGGCGACGAUCCGUAGCUGGUCUGAGAGGAUGAUCAGCCACACUGGAACUGAGACACGGUCCAGACUCCUACGGGAGGCAGCAGUGGGGAAUAUUGGACAAUGGGCGCAAGCCUGAUCCAGCCAUGCCGCGUGUGUGAAGAAGGCCUUCGGGUUGUAAAGCACUUUUGUUGGGGAAGCGGUACCCAAAGAAUAAGCACCGGCUAACUUCGUGCCAGCAGCCGCGGUAAUUC